rnacentral:rRNA from 1 species
AACGUACGCUGGCGGCACGCCUAACACAUGCAAGUCGAACGCAGUAGCAAUACUGAGUGGCAAACGGGUGAGUAUAAUGUGGGAAUCUGCCUUUUGGUUUGGAAUAACACGGGGAAACUUGUGCUAAUACCGGAUAAGCCCUUACGGGGAAAGUUUUAACGCCGAAAGAUGAGCCUGCACUUGAUUAGCUAGUUGGUGAGGUAAGAGCUCACCAAGGCAUCGAUCAGUAGCUGGUCUGAGAGGAUGAUCAGCCACACUGGGACUGAGACACGGCCCAGACUCCUACGGGAGGCAGCAGUGGGGAAUUUUCCGCAAUGGGCGAAAGCCUGACGGAGCAACGCCGCGUGAGGGAUGAAGGCCUCUGGGCUGUAAAGCACUUUCAACGGUGAAGAUGAUGACGGUAGCCGUAGAAGAAGCCCCGGCUAACUUCG